CAGACUUCAGGACCUGGUAGAUAAGCUGCAGAUGAAAGUGAAGGCCUACAAGAGGAAUUCUGAGGAAGCAGAGGAAGCAGCCAAUAGCCAUAUGUCUAAGUUCAGGAAGGUUCAGCAUGAGCUGGAGGAGGCUGAGGAGCGUGCUGACAUCGCUGAGACUCAGGUCAACAAGCUCAGAGCCAAGACACGUGACUCUGGAAAGGGAAAAGAAGUUGCUGAAUAAACAAGACCAAAGUAUUGAAGAUCAAAGUCUUACCAUUUUCCUGUGUUGCAUAAAAUAUGAUUUUCA